UUGCGGAAGACAAACUACUGCGAAAGCAUUGCCAAAGGAUGUUUCAUUUGAUCAAGAACGAAGGAAGGGGGAUCGAAAACGAUUAGAUACCGUUGUAGUCUCUUCUGUAAACUAUGCCAAUUGGGGAUCGGUACAGGAUUUUUAAUGACUGUAUCGGCACCCGAAGAGAAAUCUUUAAAUGAGGUUCGGGGGGGAGUAUGGUCGCAAGGCUGAAACUUAAAGGAAUUGACGGAAGGGCACCACCAGGUGUGGAGCCUGCGGCUUAAUUUGACUCAACACGGGGAAACUCACCAGGUCCAGACACAAUAAGGAUUGACAGAUUGAUAGCUCUUUCUUGAUCUUGUGGUUGGUGGUGCAUGGCCGUUCUUAGUUGGUGGAGUGAUUUGUCUGGUUAAUUCCGAUAACGAACGAGACCUUAACCUGCUAAAUAGACCAGCCGGCUUUGGCUAGCUGCUGUCUUCUUAGAGGGACUAUCAGCGUUUAGCUGAUGGAAGUUUGAGGCAAUAACAGGUCUGUGAUGCCCUUAGAUGUUCUGGGCCGCACGCGCGCUACACUGACAGAGCCAGCGAGUCUACCACCUUUGCCGGAAGGCAUGGGUAAUCUUGUGAAACUCUGUCGUGAUGGGGAUAGAACAUUGCAAUUAUUGUUCUUCAACGAGGAAUACCUAGUAAGCGUGAUUCAUCAGAUCGCGUUGAUUACGUCCCUGCCCUUUGUACACACCGCCCGUCGCUACUACCGAUUGAAUGGCUUAGUGAGGCCUCCGGAUUGGCUAUUGGGAGCUCGCGAGAGCACCCGACUGCCGAGAAGUUGUACGAAAUUGGUCAUUUAGAGGAAGUAAAAGUCGUA
rnacentral:rRNA from 1 species